ACGCACGCUGGCGGCGUGCUUCACACCUGCAAGUCGAACGGAAAGGCCCUGCUUUUGUGGGGUGCUCGAGUGGCGAACGGGUGAGUAACACGUGAGUAACCUGCCCUUGACUUUGGGAUAACUUCAGGAAACUGGGGCUAAUACCGGAUAGGAGCUCCUGCUGCAUGGUGGGGGUUGGAAAGUUUCGGCGGUUGGGGAUGGACUCGCGGCUUAUCAGCUUGUUGGUGGGGUAGUGGCUUACCAAGGCUUUGACGGGUAGCCGGCCUGAGAGGGUGACCGGCCACAUUGGGACUGAGAUACGGCCCAGACUCCUACGGGAGGCAGCAGUGGGGAAUAUUGCACAAUGGGCGGAAGCCUGAUGCAGCAACGCCGCGUGCGGGAUGAAGGCCUUCGGGUUGUAAACCGCUUUCGCCUGUGACGAAGCGUGAGUGACGGUAAUGGGUAAAGAAGCACCGGCUAACUACGUG
rnacentral:rRNA from 1 species